AACGAACGCUGGCGGCAGGCCUAACACAUGCAAGUCGAGCGAGGACUUCGGUCCUAGCGGCGGACGGGUGAGUAACGCGUGGGAACGUGCCCCUUGGUACGGAAUAGCCCCGGGAAACUGGGAGUAAUACCGUAUGAGCUCUACGGAGGAAAGAUUUAUCGCCAAGGGAUAGGCCCGCGUUGGAUUAGGUAGUUGGUGGGGUAAUGGCCUACCAAGCCGACGAUCCAUAGCUGGUUUGAGAGGAUGAUCAGCCACACUGGGACUGAGACACGGCCCAGACUCCUACGGGAGGCAGCAGUGGGGAAUCUUAGACAAUGGGCGCAAGCCUGAUCUAGCCAUGCCGCGUGAGCGAUGAAGGCCUUAGGGUUGUAAAGCUCUUUCAGCUGGGAAGAUAAUGACUGUACCAGCAGAAGAAGCCCCGGCUAACUCCGUGCCAGCCGCCGCGGUAA
rnacentral:rRNA from 1 species